CAAAGGCUUGGUCCUAACCUUAUUGUCAGCUUUUACCAUAUUUAUACAUGCAAGUAUCCGCCCCCCCGUGAGAAUGCCCUCAACGCCCACCCUGGGACAAAGGAGCUGGCAUCAGGCACGCACCCCGCAGCCCACAACGCCUUGCUUAGCCACACCCCCAAGGGAAAUCAGCAGUAAUAAACAUUAAGCCAUAAGUGAAAACUUGACUUAAUUAAAGUAAAAGAGAGCUGGUAAAACCUCGUGCCAGCCGCCGCGGUUAAACGAGAAGCUCAAGUUGACAAACAACGGCACAAAGCGUGGUUAAGGAGCACAGUAAAACUAAAGUAGAACCCUUUCAAGGCCGUCAUACGCAUUCGAAAGUACGAAGCCCAACAACGAAAGUGACUUUACACCCACCAGAAUCCACGAAAGCUAAGGAACAAACUGGGAUUAGAUACCCCACUAUGCUUAGCCCUAAACAUCGAUGCCCCACCUUAACAAACCUCCGCCAGGGAAUUACGAACAUUAGUUUAAAACCCAAAGGACUUGGCGGUGCUUAAUACCCACCUAGAGGAGCCUGUUCUAGAAUCGAUAAUCCCCGCUAAACCUCACCCCUCCUUGCUUUAUCCCGCCUGUAUACCUCCGUCGUCAGCUUACCCUGCAAAGGCCCCAUAGUAAGCAAAAUCGGCAUAGCCCAGAACGUCAGGUCAAGGUGCAGCGAAUGGAUGGGAAUAGAAAUGGGCUACAUUCACUAACAGUAGUGUAUACGAAUGGCACAUUGAAACAUGUCGCCUGAAGGAGGAUUUAGAAGUAAGCCAGAAACAGAGUGUCUCGCUGAAACCCGGCUCUUAAGCGCGCACACACCGCCCGUCACCCUCUCCUAGCACACCCCCCCCCCCCCUUUUUUAAAUAAAAAACCACCCCGCCAAAAGAAGAGGAAAGUCGUAACAUGGUAAGUGUACUGGAAAGUGUACUUGGUUAAAA
rnacentral:ncRNA from 1 species